rnacentral:misc_RNA from 1 species
UCAAUUUUGUAAUUAAGAGCUUGGAUAACGAAACUGACAGAUAAAAGAUUAAAAAAAGCUGGGAACAUGAAGAAAUGAAGUGAGAUUUAUAUUGGCAGUGCAUGUAAUAGAACAUGUACUAGAAAUCGUUAAGGAACCAUCCGCUAUAUGGACUUUUUCUUUUCUUAAGCAUGGAGAAUAGGUAAAGAAUUUAUUUGAAGAGCUUGUCAAAUAUUUAUUUGCUCCAAAAUCUAUAGCUAAACAAAAUUUAUUAAGAUUGACAAGAAAAGUACUACUUGAUUUGACAAAAUUGGAAGAGUCAAUUGUAAAAGAUUGAGAUUCAAGCCGAAACAACAAAAGCCUUAGGGGUUGAACUCCUUUAUUGGAAAAAAUGCCAAUAUCAUUUGUUCUUUCAGAGUAAUCCAUUGUUUCAGAUAUAUUCGGUUGUGGUCAGAUCAAGGACAAGGGAUGGGUAGAAGCGCAACACACGAGGUACAGUUGAAAAAGUCAGAGAUCCACGUGCUAUGAACAGUGCCAAUGAACAGUACCCCCUGUAACCAGUGAGCACAGGCAGUGCAUGUAAACAGUACCAAUCAAUAGUACUAAAGCCCGCCCCAAUUAAUCGAAAGCUUUGAUACCAUGAUGAAACUAAUGUAUUUGAGAGAAA